rnacentral:rRNA from 1 species
UAGGGAAUCUUCGGCAAUGGACGGAGGUCUGACCGAGCAACGCCGCGUGAGUGAAGAAGGUUUUCGGAUCGUAAAGCUCUGUUGUAAGAGAAGAACGAGUGUGAGAGUGGAAAGUUCACACUGUGACGGUAUCUUACCAGAAAGGGACGGCUGACUACGUGCCAGCAGCCGCGGUAAUACGUAGGUCCCGAGCGUUGUCCGGAUUUAUUGGGCGUAAAGCGAGCGCAGGCGGUUAGAUAAGUCUGAAGUUAAAGGCUGUGGCUUAACCAUAGUACGCUUUGGAAACUGUUUAACUUGAGUGCAAGAGGGGAGAGUGGAAUUCCAUGUGUAGCGGUGAAAUGCGUAGAUAUAUGGAGGAACACCGGUGGCGAAAGCGGCUCUCUGGCUUGUAACUGACGCUGAGGCUCGAAAGCGUGGGGAGCAAACAGGAUUAGAUACCCUGGUAGUCCACGCUGUAAACGAUGAGUGCUAGGUGUUAGACCCUUUCCGGGGUUUAGUGCCGCAGCUAACGCAUUAAGCACUCCGCCUGGGGAGUACGACCGCAAGGUUG